GACGAACGCUGGCGGCGUGCUUAACACAUGCAAGUCGAACGGAAGGGCCCUGCUUUUGUGGGGUGCUCGAGUGGCGAACGGGUGAGUAACACGUGAGUAACCUGCCCUUGACUUUGGGAUAACUUCAGGAAACUGGGGCUAAUACCGGAUAGGAGCUCCUGCUGCAUGGUGGGGGUUGGAAAGUUUCGGCGGUUGGGGAUGGACUCGCGGCUUAUCAGCUUGUUGGUGGGGUAGUGGCUUACCAAGGCUUUGACGGGUAGCCGGCCUGAGAGGGUGACCGGCCACAUUGGGACUGAGAUACGACCCAGACUCCUACAGGAGGCAGCAGUGGGGAAUAUUGCACAAUGGGCGGAAGCCUGAUGCAGCAACGCCGCGUGCGGGAUGACGGCCUUCGGGUUGUAAACCGCUUUCGCCUGUGACGAAGCGUGAGUGACGGUAAUGGGUAAAGAAGCACCGGCUAACUACGUG
rnacentral:rRNA from 1 species